rnacentral:rRNA from 1 species
AACGUACGCUGGCGGCACGCCUAACACAUGCAAGUCGAACGCAGUAGCAAUACUGAGUGGCAGACGGGUGAGUAACAUGUGGGAAUCUGCCUUGUGGUUCAGGACAACAUUGGGAAACCGAUGCUAAUACUGGAUAAGCCCUUACGGGGAAAGUUUUAAUGCCAUAAGAUGAGCCCGCAUUUGAUUAGUUAGUUGGUGAGGUAAUGGCUCACCAAGACAAUGAUCAAUAGUUGAUCUGAGAGGAUGAUCAGCCACACUGGGACUGAGACACGGCCCAGACUCCUACGGGAGGCAGCAGUGGGGAAUCUUGCACAAUGGAGGAAACUCUGAUGCAGCGAUGCCGCGUGAGUGAAGAAGGCCUUUGGGUUGUAAAGCUCUUUUGUAGGGGAAGAUAAUGACUGUACCCUAAGAAUAAGGUCCGGCUAACUUCGUGCCAGCAGCCGCAGUAA